ensembl:lncRNA
UGGAAAUCUGGGUGCAACCCCUUUAAAAAGCGUGUAACUGCCCCAGUCUUCGCAGCCUGGGGACUUCACUGCAACCCUACUGGUGAGGCGGGACAAUUCUCCCGAAUUGGGGAACACUACCUCUUGCCAGCGACGGGAGCGCUAUGAACUACAUUACCCUAAAGGCACCGCGCGAGGCGCCAAGGACAAUGGACCAAUGAAGACUCAGGACAGAGACACUUCCGUUCUAGAGAACGGUCUCUGGGUGGACCUUCCUGUGUGGGUCCCCGGCGACAUAUUGUAAUUCAGAUUGGUUCACGGUUGGUGUACUUCCUAACGCUGAGCCGGCCUGAAACCUGGGAGCUGGAAGGCCGCUGUGCCUGCUAUUCCGAGGCGAGUCUCAGGCUCGGCGUGGGCGCCAUCCGACCUGACUCUCUCUCUGGGUCGGGACGGGGUCUCGGGACGGGGUCUGCAGAGCCCGACCCCGCCUUCGCCAACGGACUUCUUUGGCUGCAGCCACAUUGAUGGUUCCGAUUCAGGACCCCAGGAAGCCGCCUAUGUGCUUAGACGCUUCAGUCGUGCCCUUGAGACCGCAUGGACUGUAGCCCGCCAAGCUCCUCUGUCCAUGGGGAUUCUCCAGGCAAGAAUACUGGAGUGGGUUGCCACGCCCUCUCGCAGGGGAAUCUUCUCAAGCCAGGGAUUAAACCCCGGUCUCCCACAUUGCAGGCGGAUUCUUUACCAUUUGAGCCACCAGGGAAGCCCAAAACAUACCCAUGCCCCCAAAGUUAAGGUAUUGUCUAUUGUUAUUUAAAGUAAGGGUUUCCUUGCUUUUCUCAAUAGUCUUGCCAACUAUGUGGGAAAUAUGCGACGGCUGUAGUUUAGUUUCGCUCCUUCGUUUUAAAACUUAGUGAAUGGAAUCAUAUAAGGCUUCCCUGGUGGCUCAGACGGUGAAGUGUCUGCCCACAGUGAGGCAGUCCCAGGUUCGAUUCCCUGGGUCGGGAAAAUCCUCUGGAGAAGGAAAUGGCAACCCACUCCAGAACCCUUGCUUGGAAAAUCCCAUGGCCGGAGGAACGUGGUAGGCUGCAGUCCAUGCGGUCCCAAAGAGACGGACACGACUGAUGGUUUCUUGACAGUUUUGCCAACUAUGUGGGAAAUAUGCGACGGCUGUAGUUUAGUUUCGCUCCUUCGUUUUAAAACUUAGUGAAUGGAAUCAUAAAAAGUAUUACGAUGUCUUUUUCUUCAUUUGCAAAAUAUGAUAUGACUUUACCCAUGUUUCUCAUGCUAGGUUGUUGUUUAGUUGCUAAGUCGUUUCCGACUCUUUGUGACGCUGUGGACUGCAGCAUGCCAGGCUUCCCUGUCCUUCAUUGUCUCCUGGAGUUUGCCCAAAUUCAUGUCCAUUGGGAUACCCUCCCUCAUGCAGAGUAGCCAGUCAUUUUCCUUUCUGUGUAGUUUUUGUAGAUAUGAAUAUACAAGUAAAUGUCUUUAUAUUCUUCUGUUGAAGGCUUUCCUCGGUGUAUUUGUUGUUGAUGGUGGUGGUGUUUGUUUUAGUCCGAGACGUCUGUAAUAGUGGUACUGUAGGCACACUUGCCCUGUGUUCUGGGAAGAUACAUUAAGCACACAUCUGUUUAGUUUCUAUGUUAACAUUUUUAUUGUAUUUAAAUUAACAUUUCCGCUUACUGAAUUUGUUUUCCUCCGUACUACUAAUUUUAACUUAGUUCUUUGAAUGAAAUUAUUAAACUGUUUCAUAGUUAUAUUUUGAUACACACUUAUGCCGUAUAUAAACUUUUGUUUUACAGUCUACACACACACAU